GUCUUAGACAUCGCUUUGCUCAUACAAUUAGGUCCUAGAAAGCAACGAACGUGACCGCAACCUCUUGUUGCCUUUAUACCAAACAUGUUUAUUCAUUUUUUAAUGUUCAUUCAUGAAAAAAGGCUUUUUAAACUAGAGGGACCGCUGUUACUUUCUUAAACCAGAGGAAGGUUGCGGCAAUAACAGGUCUGUGAUGCCCUUAGAUGUUCCGGGCUGCACACGUGCUACAAUGAUUAUUGCAGUGAGCAUCUCAUUUUUACACACCGCAUGCGCGAGUCCAUUUAUUCACCUUCGGGUGUUUUAAAUGUGUACCUCUGCGCGCGGUAAAGCCUGCUUCGAAAGUAAGUGGGUAAUCAAUUAGAAGUAAUGAUUUCCUUUUUUAGCACACAUAUAUACGGCGUCUAUGCCCGGGUUACCUUGUUGUAGCUUUUGUGUGUAUAGAUGUUUUUUCCGUAUGUGCGAUUGUCAAUUCAUGGUGGGGACAGACCAUUGUUAAUUGUUGGUCUCGGUCUUAACUAGGAAUGCCUUGUACGGGUCUUUGGUUCAACAAACCACCCGGAAUACGUCCCUGCCCUUUGUACACACCGCCCGUCGCUACUUACCGAUGGACUUCUCUGUGAGUUUGAGGGCCCUGGGAACGCAG
rnacentral:rRNA from 1 species